GGACAUCUUCUGCACGUACGUGGAUGCCUGGAUGUAAUAGGGGUCCGGCACCAGGUCCGGGAGACCUAAAGAUAACACAAGCCGAUGACCUCUGACUCCCAGUGCCAGCCUUGUCACCCUGUGCCUAGCGGGUCUGCGAGUUUGAAUCCUUCCUGGUCCCUAUGGCCGUUGGUUGGUACCAUACCUUCACUGUUAAAAGAUGCAAAAUAAGGGCCUGCAAGAUAGUGGAGGAGAUGAAGGCGCUUACCAUCUUGAUGACCUGAAUUCGAUCCCCAUGGUGGAAGGAAGAAACUAGAUUCUUGACUUGUUUUGGACAAGAAGAGAAGGAAAGUGUGAAGCACCAGGUCCCAGAGAAUGCCA